UCCUACGGGAGGCAGCAGUGGGGAAUUUUCCGCAAUGGCGAAAGCCUGACGGAGCGACGCCGCGUGGAGGAUGACGGUCUUCGGAUUGUAAACUCCUGUCAAGGGGGACGAUAAUGACGGUACCCCUGGAGGAAGCAUCGGCUAACUACGUGCCAGCAGCCGCGGUAAGACGUAGGAUGCGAGCGUUGUUCGGAUUUAUUGGGCGUAAAGCGUGCGUAGGCGGCUGUUUAAGUCUGGUGUUAAAGCUAGGGGCUCAACCCCUGUGAUGCACUGGAAACUGGGCAGCUUGAGUGUGGUAGGGGAAAGUGGAAUUCCUAGUGUAGCGGUGAAAUGCGUAGAUAUUAGGAAGAACACCGGUGGCGAAGGCGACCUUCUGGGCCACUACUGACGCUGAGGCACGAAAGCGUGGGGAGCAAACAGGAUUAGAUACCCGGGUAGUCA
rnacentral:rRNA from 1 species